UACAGAGGGUGCGAGCGUUAAUCGGAAUUACUGGGCGUAAAGGGUGCGUAGGUGGUUAAUUAAGUUAGAUGUGAAAUCCCUGGGCUUAACCUAGGAAUUGCAUUUAAGACUGAUUAGCUAGAGUUUGAGAGAGGGAAGUGGAAUUUCCGGUGUAGCGGUGAAAUGCGUAGAUAUCGGAAGGAACACCAGUGGCGAAGGCGGCUUCCUGGCUCGAUACUGACACUGAGGCACGAAAGCGUGGGGAGCGAACAGG
rnacentral:rRNA from 1 species